rnacentral:rRNA from 1 species
GUGGGGAAUUUUGGACAAUGGGCGCAAGCCUGAUCCAGCCAUUCCGCGUGCAGGAUGAAGGCCUUCGGGUUGUAAACUGCUUUUGUACGGAACGAAAAGCCUCUGGUUAAUACCCGGGGGUCAUGACGGUACCGUAAGAAUAAGCACCGGCUAACUACGUGCCAGCAGCCGCGGUAAUACGUAGGGUGCGAGCGUUAAUCGGAAUUACUGGGCGUAAAGCGUGCGCAGGCGGUGAUGUAAGACAGUUGUGAAAUCCCCGGGCUCAACCUGGGAACUGCAUCUGUGACUGCAUUGCUGGAGUGCGGCAGAGGGGGAUGGAAUUCCGCGUGUAGCAGUGAAAUGCGUAGAUAUGCGGAGGAACACCGAUGGCGAAGGCAAUCCCCUGGGCCUGCACUGACGCUCAUGCACGAAAGCGUGGGGAGCAAACAGGAUUAGAUACCCCAGUAGUCC